GUGGGGAAUUUUGGACAAUGGGCGCAAGCCUGAUCCAGCCAUGCCGCGUGAGUGAAGAAGGCCUUCGGGUUGUAAAGCUCUUUCGGACGGAAAGAAAUCGCAUCUUUUAAUACAGGGUGUGGAUGACGGUACCGUAAGAAGAAGCACCGGCUAACUACGUGCCAGCAGCCGCGGUAAUACGUAGGGUGCGAGCGUUAAUCGGAAUUACUGGGCGUAAAGCGUGCGCAGGCGGUUGCGUAAGACAGAUGUGAAAUCCCCGGGCUCAACCUGGGAACUGCGUUUGUGACUGCGCGACUAGAGUACGGCAGAGGGAGGUGGAAUUCCACGUGUAGCAGUGAAAUGCGUAGAGAUGUGGAGGAACACCGAUGGCGAAGGCAGCCUCCUGGGCCAGUACUGACGCUCAUGCACGAAAGCGUGGGGAGCAAACAGGAUUAGAAACCCGAGUAGUCC
rnacentral:rRNA from 1 species